rnacentral:rRNA from 1 species
GACAGAGGGUGCAAACGUUGUUCGGAAUUACUGGGCGUAAAGCGUGUGUAGGCGGCCUUGCAAGUCGGAUGUGAAGCCGGCCGCACCACGGGAAGUGCACUCGAUACUGCAGGGCUUGAGUGUCGGAGAGGUUGGUGGAAUUCUCGGUGUAGAGGUGAAAUUCGUAGAUAUCGAGAGGAACACCGGCGGCGAAGGCGGCCAACUGGACGACUACUGACGCUGAGACACGAAAGCGUGGGGGAGCAAACAGG